rnacentral:rRNA from 1 species
UUGCCUACGGGGGGCAGCAGUGGGGAAUAUUGCACAAUGGGGGGAACCCUGAUGAAGCGACGCCGCGUGGGUGAGGAAGUACUUCGGUAUGUAAAGCCCUAUCAGCAGGGAAGAAAAUGACGGUACCUGACUAAGAAGCCCCGGCUAACUACGUGCCAGCAGCCGCGGAAAUACGUAGGGGGCAAGCGUUAUCCGGAUUUACUGGGUGUAAAGGGAGCGUAGACGGCAGCGCAAGUCUGGAGUGAAAUCCCAUGGCUUAACCAUGGAACUGCUUUGGAAAAUGUGCAGCUGGAGUGCAG